CUCAGGAGCGGGCGGUGACGGCGACGGCGGCGGCAGAGGAGGCAGCGGCUGGGCCGGGCCCCGUGCGUCUGUCCGCGCCCCGUGGAUGCGAAUCGGCCGCGGCGGAGGCGGCGGCGGCGGAGGAGGCGGCGGCGGGAGGAGGAGUCGGUGAGCCGGCUCCGGGCCGGAGGGGCGCGGAGGAUGAGGCCGCUGCCUGGCGCUCUUGGCGUGGCGGCGGCCGCCGCGCUGUGGCUGCUGCUGCUGCUGCUGCCCCGGACCCGGGCGGACGAGCACGAACACACGUAUCAAGAUAAAGAGGAAGUUGUCUUAUGGAUGAAUACUGUUGGGCCCUACCAUAAUCGUCAAGAAACAUAUAAGUACUUUUCACUUCCAUUCUGUGUGGGGUCAAAAAAAAGUAUCAGUCAUUACCAUGAAACUCUGGGAGAAGCACUUCAAGGGGUUGAAUUGGAAUUUAGUGGUCUGGAUAUUAAAUUUAAAGAUGAUGUGAUGCCAGCCACUUACUGUGAAAUUGAUUUAG
rnacentral:lncRNA from 1 species